ensembl:lncRNA
CUUCAUGCCAGCUCAGCUUUUUUGGAAGAAGUAUUUGGGCUGCCCCUCAUUUGAGUCUUCCUCGCAAUGCAAGUCUUCAGUCUCUUCAUGAAUGGCCACUCCCUUACGCCCUCCAACACUGUAUUUCUCAUUCGUCAGCAUCUACCUUUAAAAAGGAAAUAUUCCUACGCACAGACUGAAAACCUUGAGGAGAGCAUCCACACAACUUUACUGCAGAUGUAACUGUUCUAAUCUAGAAACACGAUGCAACAUGAGAAAA